GCCGGGCGUGGUGGCGGGCGCCUGUAAUCCUAGCUACUCGGGAGGCUGAGGCAGGAGAAUCGCUUGAACCUGGGAGACAGAGGUUGCUGUGAGCCAAGAUCGCGCCAUUGCACUCCAGCCUGGGUGACAGAGCGAGAUUCCAUCUCAAAAAAAAAAAACCAUCUUCCACUCACACACCCAAAUGUUCUUUUUAUGAAACAAGGUUCACUCUGUCACCCAGGCUGGAGUGCAGUGGUGUGAUCUUGGCUCACUACAGCCUCUGCCUCCCGGGUUCAAGCGAUUCUCGUAC
rnacentral:lncRNA from 1 species